rnacentral:lncRNA from 1 species
AAUCAUGGCGGAAGGCAAAAGUGGAGCCUGCAUGUCACGUGGCCAGAGCAGCAGGAAGAGAGAGAGGGGAGAGAGGGGGAAGUGCCAGUCACUUUUAAACAACCAGAUCUCACAAGAACUCUCUCAAUAUACAACACCAAGGGGGGAUGGUGCUAAACCAUUCAUGAGAAUUUAGCUCCGUGAUCCAAUCACUUCCUAUCAGGCCCCAACUCCAACAUUGGGGAUUAUAAUUUGACAUGCAAUUUGGGCAGGGAAGCAGAUCCAAACCAUGUCAUAAAUGAUUUUGCCCAACUAUAGGCUAUGUAAGUGUCCUGAGCAUGUUUAAGUUAGGCUAGGCUAAGCUAUGAUGCUCAGUAGGUUAGGUGUAUUAAACGCAUUUUCAACUUACUGCAUUUUCAACUUAUUAUGGGUUUACUGGCACAUACCCCCAUUGUAAGUCCAGAAGUAUCUGUAUUUGUACAGGAAAAAAAUAUGGAAGAUUUCUUAUGACCUUCAUUGGUACGUGGGUUGGGGUGUUAGAGGAGCUAUUUACUUUCUGCUAUACACUUUUGUAUUUCAAUAGUUAAUAAGGUCUAUGUAUUAUUUUGAAAUCAGAAAAUAGUCCUGGGGGCUUUCUAUUCUCACUGCUUGACAGGUAUAGAUAUGUUUUUCUUCAUCAGUAACCCAGAUCUCUCAAGUUUCCCCCUGGCUUGGAACACUUAACUCACUAGACUAUUGGGACCCAUGAUUCCAGUACUGUUAAAACUCAAUGCCCUUUGGGUACACUCAAGCACAAAGAUGGAAACAAUAAACAUGGGGAUUCCAAAAAAGGGAAGGGGAGGGGAGGAAGGGUUGAAAACCUACCUAUUGGGUACUAUGUUCACUACCUGAAUCAUUAGAAGUCCAAACCUCAGCAUCAUACAAUAUAUCCAGGUAACAAACCUACACAUGUACCCACUGAAUCUAAAAGAAAAAAACAGGCCGGAUGCAGUAGUUCACACCUGUAAUCCCAGCACUUUGGGAGGCCAAAGCGGGUGGAUCACCUGAGGUCAAGAGUUCAAGGCCAGGCUGGCCAACACAGUGUACUAAAAAUACAAAAAUUAGCCAGGUGUGGUAGCGUGUGCCUGUAAUCCCAGCUACUUCGGAGGCCAAGGCACGAGAAUCGCUUGAAACUGGGAGGCAGAAGUUGCAGUGAGCCGAGAUCGCACCACUGCACUCCAGCCUGGGCAACAGAGCCAGACCCUGUCUCAAAAAAAAGAAAAAGAAAAAAA